GAAAUGCGAUAAGUAAUGUGAAUUGCAGAAUUCCGUGAAUCAUCGAAUCUUUGAACGCACAUUGCGCCCUCUGGUAUUCCGGGGGGCAUGCCUGUCCGAGCGUCAUUGCGAACCCCUCAAGCACGGCUUGUGUGAUGGGCCCUCCCGCGUCUUGGUCGUCAAGACGGGCCCGAAAUGCAGUGGCGGCUUCGCGGUUAUCCGAUCAGCCAGAGCGUAUGGGGACUUUCUCUCUGUCACACGCCCGCGGCGCGGACCGACGCCUGUCGACCAUCAUUCAUCGUUUUCUCGGUUGACCUCGGAUCAGGUAGGGAUACCCGCUGAACUUAAGC
rnacentral:misc_RNA from 1 species